AGAGUUUGAUCAUGGCUCAGGACGAACGCUGGCGGCGUGCUUAACACAUGCAAGUCGAGCGGAAAGGCCCUUUCGGGGGUACUCGAGCGGCGAACGGGUGAGUAACACGUGAGUAACCUGCCCUCGACUCUGGGAUAAGCCUGGGAAACUGGGUCUAAUACCGGAUAUUCACCUCCUGUCGCAUGGUGGGGGGUGGAAAGUUCCCUCUUUUUGGGGGUUCGGUCGGGGAUGGGCUCGCGGCCUAUCAGCUCGUUGGUGGGGUGACGGCCUACCAAGGCGACGACGGGUAGCCGGCCUGAGAGGGCGACCGGCCACACUGGGACUGAGACACGGCCCAGACUCCUACGGGAGGCAGCAGUGGGGAAUCUUGCGCAAUGGGCGAAAGCCUGACGCAGCGACGCCGCGUGGGGGAUGAAGGCCUUCGGGUUGUAAACCCCUUUCAGCACCGACGAAUGAAGGACGGUAGGUGCAGAAGAAGCGCCGGCUAACUACGUGCCAGCAGCCGCGGUAAUACGUAGGGCGCGAGCGUUGUCCGGAAUUAUUGGGCGUAAAGAGCUCGUAGGCGGCUUGUCGCGUCUGUCGUGAAAGCCCACGGCUUAACCGUGGGUUUGCGGUGGAUACGGGCAGGCUAGAGGCAGGUAGGGGAGCAUGGAAUUCCCGGUGUAGCGGUGAAAUGCGCAGAUAUCGGGAGGAACACCGGUGGCGAAGGCGGUGCUCUGGGCCUGUUCUGACGCUGAGGAGCGAAAGCGUGGGGAGCGAACAGGAUUAGAUACCCUGGUAGUCCACGCCGUAAACGUUGGGCGCUAGGUGUGGGGUUCUUCCACGGAUUCCGCGCCGUAGCUAACGCAUUAAGCGCCCCGCCUGGGGAGUACGGCCGCAAGGCUAAAACUCAAAGGAAUUGACGG
rnacentral:rRNA from 1 species